CCCUUAGAUGUUCUGGGCCGCACGCGUGCUACACUGAGUGGAUCAGCGGGUCAGGUUGCGCGAAAGCGUUUCCUAAUCUUUAAAUCCGCUCGUGAUGGGGAUUGACGGUUGCAAUUUUCUGUCAUGAACGAGGAAUACCUUGUAAGCGCGGGUCAUCAUCCCGCGCUGAAUACGUCCCUGCCCUUUGUACACACCGCCCGUCGCACCUACCGAUUGAAUGGUCCGGUGAAGCCUCGGGAUUGUGGCCAGUUCACUUUAUUGGGAGUUGGCUGCGAGAACUUGUCUAAACCUUAUCAUUUAGAGGAAGGUGAAGUCGUAACA
rnacentral:rRNA from 1 species